rnacentral:tRNA from 1 species
GACGCCUUAAGUCAGUGGUAGACGGUCAGAUUCCAGACUUGGAAGUUCCUGAAGGUCACAGGUUCAAGUCCUGUAGGCGUCA